rnacentral:rRNA from 1 species
CGUUUAUUUGAUAGUGCCUUACUACUUGGAUAACCGUGGUAAUUCUAGAGCUAAUACAUGCUAAAAACCCCGACUUCGGAAGGGGUGUAUUUAUUAGAUACAAAACCAAUGCCCUUCGGGGCUCCUUGGUGAUUCAUGAUAACUAUACGAAUCGCACGGCCUUGCGCCGGCGAUGGUUCAUUCAAAUUUCUUCCCUAUCAACUUUCGAUGUUUGGGUAUUGGCCAAACAUGGUUGCAACGGGUAACGGAGGGUUAGGGCUCGACCCCGGAGAAGGAGCCUGAGAAACGGCUACUACAUCCAAGGAAGGCAGCAGGCGCGCAAAUUACCCAAUCCCGACUCGGGGAGGUAGUGACAAUAAAUACUGAUACAGGGCCCUUUCGGGCCUUGUAAUUGGAAUGAGUACAAUUUAAAUCCCUUAACGAGGAACAAUUGGAGGGCAAGUCUGGUGCCAGCAGCCGCGGUAAUUCCAGCUCCAAUAGCGUAUAUUAAAGUUGUUGUGGUUAAAAAGCUCGUAGUUGAACCUUGGGCCUGGCUGGCCGGUCCGCCUCACCGCGUGCACUGGUCCGGCCGGGCCUUUCCCUCUGUGGAACCCCAUACCCUUCACUGGGCGUGGCGGGGAAACAGGACAUUUACUUUGAAAAAAUUAGAGUGCUCCAGGCAGGCCUAUGCUCGAAUACAUUAGCAUGGAAUAAUAAAAUAGGACGCGCGGUUCUAUUUUGUUGGUUUAUAGGACCGCCGUAAUGAUUAAUAGGGACAGUCGGGGGCAUCAGUAUUCAACUGUCAGAGGUGAAAUUCUUGGAUCAGUUGAAGACUAACUACUGCGAAAGCAUUUGCCAAGGAUGUUUUCAUUAAUCAGGAACGAAAGUUAGGGGAUCGAAGACGAUCAGAUACCGUCGUAGUCUUAACCAUAAACUAUGCCGACUAGGGAUCGGACGGUGUUAUUCAUGACCCGUUCGGCACCUUACGAGAAAUCAAAGUGCUUGGGCUCCAGGGGGAGUAUGGUCGCAAGGCUGAAACUUAAAGAAAUUGACGGAAGGGCACCACCAGGGGUGGAGCCUGCGGCUUAAUUUGACUCAACACGGGGAAACUCACCAGGUCCAGACACAAUAAGGAUUGACAGAUUGAGAGCUCUUUCUUGAUUUU